AUUGAACGCUGGCGGCAGGCCUAACACAUGCAAGUCGAACGAGUGGCGGACGGGUGAGUAAUGUUUGGGAAACUAGCUUAUGGAGGGGGAUAACUACGGGAAACUGUAGCUAAUACCGCAUACCAUAGGAUGAGCCCAAGUGGGAUGAGGUAGUUGGGGAGGUAAAGGCUCACCAAGGCGACGAUCCCUAGCUGGUCUGAGAGGAUGACCAGCCACACUGGGACUGAGACAGGGCCCAGACUCCGACGGGAGGUAGCAGUGGGGAAUAUUGCGCAAUGGGGGCAACCUGACGCAGCCAUGACGCGUGAAUGAAGAAGGCCUUCGGGUUGGAAAGUUCUUUCGGUAGAGAGGCGUUAACUACAGAAGAAGCACCGGCUAACUCCGUGCCAGCAGCCGCGGUAAUUC
rnacentral:rRNA from 1 species